AAAGUCGAACGGAAGGCCCAUGCUUUUGUGGGGUGCUCGAGUGGCGAACGGGUGAGUAACACGUGAGUAACCUGCCCUUGACUUUGGGAUAACUUCAGGAAACUGGGGCUAAUACCGGAUAGGAGCUCCUGCUGCAUGGUGGGGGUUGGAAAGUUUCGGCGGUUGGGGAUGGACUCGCGGCUUAUCAGCUUGUUGGUGGGGUAGUGGCUUACCAAGGCUUUGACGGGUAGCCGGCCUGAGAGGGUGACCGGCCACAUUGGGACUGAGAUACGGCCCAGACUCCUACGGGAGGCAGCAGUGGGGAAUAUUGCACAAUGGGCGGAAGCCUGAUGCAGCAACGCCGCGUGCGGGAUGACGGCCUUCGGGUUGUAAACCGCUUUCGCCUGUGACGAAGCGUGAGUGACGGUAAUGGGUAAAGAAGCACCGGCUAACUACGUGCCAGCAGCCGCGGUGAUACGUAGGGUGCGAGCGUUGUCCGGAUUUAUUGGGCGUAAAGGGCUCGUAGGUGGUUGAUCGCGUCGGAAGUGUAAUCUUGGGGCUUAACCCUGAGCGUGCUUUCGAUACGGGUUGACUUGAGGAAGGUAGGGGAGAAUGGAAUUCCUGGUGGAGCGGUGGAAUGCGCAGAUAUCAGGAGGAACACCAGUGGCGAAGGCGGUUCUCUGGGCCUUUCCUGACGCUGAGGAGCGAAAGCGUGGGGAGCGAACAGGCUUAGAUACCCUGGUAGUSCACGCUGUAAACGGUGGGUACUAGGUGUGGGGUCCAUUUCCACGGGUUCCGUGCCGUAGCUAACGCUUUAAGUACCCCGCCUGGGGAGUACGGCCGCAAGGCUAAAACUCAAAGGAAUUGACGGGGCCCCGCACAAGCGGCGGAGCAUGCGGAUUAAUUCGAUGCAACGCGUAGAACCUUACCUGGGUUUGACAUGGAUCGGGAGUGCUCAGAGAUGGGUGUGCCUCUUUUGGGGUCGGUUCACAGGUGGUGCAUGGCUGUCGUCAGCUCGUGUCGUGAGAUGUUGGGUUAAGUCCCGCAACGAGCGCAACCCUUGUUCACUGUUGCCAGCACGUUAUGGUGGGGACUCAGUGGAGACCGCCGGGGUCAACUCGGAGGAAGGUGGGGAUGACGUCAAGUCAUCAUGCCCCUUAUGUCCAGGGCUUCACGCAUGCUACAAUGGCUGGUACAGAGAGUGGCGAGCCUGUGAGGGUGAGCGAAUCUCGGAAAGCCGGUCUCAGUUCGGAUUGGGGUCUGCAACUCGACAAUCAUGAAGUCGGAGUCGCUAGUAAUCGCAGAUCAGCAACGCUGCGGUGAAUACGUUCCCGGGGCUUGUACACACCGCCCGUCAAGUCAUGAAAGUUGGUAACACCCGAAGCCGUUGGCCUAACCGU
rnacentral:rRNA from 1 species